rnacentral:rRNA from 1 species
AUACGUAGGUGGCAAGCGUUGUCCGGAUUUAUUGGGCGCAAAGCGAGCGCAGGCGGUCUCUUAAGUCUGAUGCGAAAGCCCCCGGCUCAACCGGGGAGGGUCAUUGGAAACUGGGAGACUUGAGUGCAGAAGAGGAGAGUGGAAUUCCAUGUGUAGCGGUGAAAUGCGUAGAUAUAUGGAGGAACACCAGUGGCGAAGGCGGCUCUCUGGUCUGUAACUGACGCUGAGGCUCGAAAGCGUGGGGAGCAAACAGGAUUAGAUACCCUGGUAGUCCACGCCGUAAACGAUGAGUGCUAAGUGUUGGAGGGUUUCCGCCCUUCAGUGCUGCAGCUAACGCAUUAAGCACUCCGCCUGGGGAGUACGGCCGCAAGGCUGAAACUCAAAUGAAUUGACGGGG